rnacentral:rRNA from 1 species
UACGGGGGGGGCAAGCGUUGUUCGGAAUUACGUGGGCGUAAAGGGCGCGUAGGCGGCCUUGCUAAGUCGAACGUGAAAUCCCUGGGCUCAACCCAGGAACUGCGUCCGAUACUGGUUGGGCUUGAAUCCGGGAGAGGGACGUGGAAUUCCUAGGUGUAGCGGUGAAAUGCGCAGAUAUCAGGAAGAACACCCGUGGCGAAGGCGGCUCUCGUGGGACGGUACUGGACGCUGAGACGGCGAAAGCGUGGGGAGCGAACAGG